GAUGAACGCUGGCGGCGUGCCUAAUACAUGCAAGUCGAGCGAACAGACGAGGAGCUUGCUCCUCUGACGUUAGCGGCGGACGGGUGAGUAACACGUGGAUAACCUACCUAUAAGACUGGGAUAACUUCGGGAAACCGGAGCUAAUACCAGCUCAUAUAUUGAACCGCAUGGUUCAAUAGUGAAAGACGGUUUUGCUGUCACUUAUAGAUGGAUCCGCGCCGCAUUAGCUAGUUGGUAAGGUAACGGCUUACCAAGGCGACGAUGCGUAGCCGACCUGAGAGGGUGAUCGGCCACACUGGAACUGAGACACGGUCCAGACUCCUACGGGAGGCAGCAGUAGGGAAUCUUCCGCAAUGGGCGAAAGCCUGACGGAGCAACGCCGCGUGAGUGAUGAAGGUCUUCGGAUCGUAAAACUCUGUUAUUAGGGAAGAACAAAUGUGUAAGUAACUAUGCACGUCUUGACGGUACCUAAUCAGAAAGCCACGGCUAACUACGUG
rnacentral:rRNA from 1 species